AGAAUCAACGCUGGCGGCGUGCCUAACACAUGCAAGUCGAACGAGAAAGUGGAGCAAUCCAUGAGUAAAGUGGCGACCGGGUGAGUAACACGUGACUAACCUACCUUCGAGUGGGGGAUAACCUCGGGAAACCGAGGCUAAUACCGCAUAACAUCGUGAGAUCAAAGCAGUAAUGCGCUGGAAGAGGGGGUCGCGGCUGAUUAGCUAGUUGGCGGGGUAAUGGCCCACCAAGGCGAAGAUCGGUAGCCGGCCUGAGAGGGCGCACGGCCGACACUGGAACUGAAACACGGUCCAGACUCCUACGGGAGGCAGCAGUGGGGAAUUUUGCGCAAUGGGGGAAACCCUGACGCAGCAACGCCGCGUGGAGGAUGAAGUCCCUUGGGACGUAAACUCCUUUCGACCAAGACGAUAAUGACGGUACUGGUGGAAGAAGCACCGGCUAACUCUGUGCCAGCAGCCGC
rnacentral:rRNA from 1 species